AUGGAGUACACAUUCAGGGGAGUGACAAAGACCAAGGAAUGCUUUAGGAGGGUUUUUGUCUGCUUUGAGGCUUGUCGCCGGGGUUUUUUGGCAGGCUGCAGGCCUUAUUUGGCUAUUGAUGCCACUUUUCUCACAGGGAGGUUUAAAGGACAGUUAGUAGCAGCUUGUGUAGUUGAUGCACACAAUUUUGUAUUUCUAGUUGCCUACGGUGUGCUGGAGACAGAAUCUGAGGAGAGUUGGACUUGGUUUUUGCAUAAUCUGCGACGGGCUAUUGCACAUCCCAAUGGGUUGGUCAUUCAUACACAUGCCUGUAAAGGUUUAGAAGUGGUCGUGGACAAUGUGUUUCCUGGAGUAGAGCAUAGGGAAUGCAUGCGUCACCUUGCUGCAAAUUUCAUGAAGAAAUUCAAAGGAAAGGUGUAUACCGACAAUUUAUGGCCAGCAUCUUUGACUUGCAGUGUGAAGAAGCACAAGUACCACUUGAGACAGUUAUACAUGAAUCCCAAAGUGAAAGAAUACUUGGAAACACACCACUCCAAGUUAUGGGACAGAAGCCAAUUCAGUGAACUGAUCAAAGUUGACUAUGUGCACAAUAAUCUAGCAGAGUCUUUCAACUCAACGAUCCGGAAA
rnacentral:rRNA from 1 species